rnacentral:rRNA from 1 species
AUACAUGCAAGUCGAACGAGAAAGCAUUUCGGUGCGAGUACAGUGGCGGACGGGUGAGUAACGCGUAGGAAUCUACCUAGUAGUGGGGGACAACUCGGGGAAACUCGAGCUAAUACCGCAUACGCUCUAUGGAGGAAAGUGGGGGACCCUUGGGCCUCACGCUAUUAGAGGAGCCUGCGUUAGAUUAGCUAGUUGGUGAGGUAAGGGCUCACCAAGGCUACGAUCUAUAGCUGGUCUGAGAGGACGAUCAGCCACACUGGAACUGAGACACGGUCCAGACUCCUACGGGAGGCAGCAGUAGGGAAUCUUGGGCAAUGGGCGAAAGCCUGACCCAGCGAUGCCGCGUGUGCGAAGAAGGCCUUAGGGUUGUAAAGCACUUUCAGUUGCGAAGAAAAGCCGCGAUCCAAUACAUCGCAGUCUUGACGUUAACAACAGAAGAAGUACCGGCUAACUCCGUGCCAGCAGCCGCGGUAAUACGGAGGGUACGAACGUUAAUCGGAAUUACUGGGCGUAAAGCGCGCGUAGGCGGUUUGAUAAGUGGGAUGUGAAAGCCCCGGGCUUAACCUGGGAACUGCAUUCCAAACUGUCAGACUAGAGUGUGGUAGAGGGAGGUAGAAUUUCCUGUGUAGCGGUGAAAUGCGUAGAUAUAGGAAGGAAUACCGAUGGCGAAGGCAGCCUCCUGGACCAACACUGACGCUGAGGCGCGAAAGCGUGGGGAGCAAACAGGAUUAGAUACCCUGGUAGUCCACGCCGUAAACGAUGAGAACUAGCCGUUGGGGCCUUUAAGGGCCUUGGUGGCGCAGCUAACGCGAUAAGUUCUCCGCCUGGGGAGUACGGGCCGCAAGGUUAAAACUCAAAUGAAUUGACGGGGGCCCGCACAAGCGGUGGAGCAUGUUCUUUAUUCGAUGCAACGCGAAGAACCUUACCACCUCUUGACAUACUCGGACUUUCUAGAGAUAGAUUGGUGCCUUCGGGAUCGAGAUACAGGUGCUGCAUGGCUGUCGUCAGCUCGUGUCGUGAGAUGUUGGGUUAAGUCUCGUAACGAGCGCACCCUUGGUCCUUUAUUUGUCAGCGGAUCGUCUCGGGAACUCUAAGGAGACUCGUGCGGUGUACACCCGCGAGGAGGGGUGGGGGACGACGUCCAAGGCCACUCAUUGGGCGCCUCACAGAGGGGGGGGCGCAUGCA